GACAGAGGGGGCAAGCGUUGCUCGGAAUUACUGGGCGUAAAGGGCGCGUAGGCGGGAUGGCAAGUCGGUCGUGAAAUCCUUCGGCUCAACCGAAGAACGUCGAUCGAUACUGCUGUUCUUGAGGGUUGCAGAGGAGACUGGAGUUCCCGGUGUAGCGGUGAAAUGUGUAGAGAUCGGGAGGAACACCGGUGGCGAAGGCGGGUCUCUGGGCAAUUCCUGACGCUGAGGCGCGAAAGCGUGGGGAGCAAACGGG
rnacentral:rRNA from 1 species